rnacentral:lncRNA from 1 species
CGAAAUUACAGCAAAAAGACGGUAACAAGGGGAGAAAACAAAGGGCAAGGAAAGAAAAGAAAUAAGAGGGAGCAGAAGAGAUUUUUGGGGAUUUUUAUUAUUUUUAUUUUAUUUUCUUCGAUUCGGUUAUAUAAGACCGAUUCCAACACUGUAAAAGGGCGGAUUUUGAAAAGGGAAUAAAGUAAAAGAGAACGAUUAACAGUUCAAAAAAAAAAAGAAGGUGAUUCACCAUUUUUUAUUUUUAUUUUUCUCUGCGUUUC